rnacentral:misc_RNA from 1 species
GCAAACUUGGUCAUUUAGAGGAAGUAAAAGUCGUAACAAGGUUUCCGUAGGUGAACCUGCGGAAGGAUCAUUACAGACCCGCCCGGCGGGUCGACCGCCCGCGAGGGAGGCCGACCCGCGGGCACCCAACCCAACACCCUUGACCCUUUGAGCACCCGUGUAUUCCCCCGGCGGGGCAACCCGCCGGCCGGGACACCCAAACCGAACCCCUUCGCAUCAGCAGUGUCCCCUCAGUACAGAAACAAAACAAUCAAAACUUUCAACAAUGGAUCUCUUGGCUCUGGCAUCGAUGAAGAACGCAGC